UCUUUCUCUUACUCUACCCAAAAAUCUUCUUAACACUCUUCUAAAGUUCUAAACCUUGAAGAUCUAGGCGAAGUUCUGUCCGUAACGGUAGCCUACGAAAACCUUUUAGGAAGCUAACAAUUUCGGUUGUUUUAUCAAGACGCAAGGUAAGAGACCCAAAAUAUAAAUUGUUGAUGAGUAUACGUGGAGCCAACAUGACUGUACAUAUGGGGUUGACCUGAAAGGAGUGGAGUUCUGCUAUGCUAUUUUAUAAAUAAACGAGAAACUUGAUUUUAUAAUUAUAUUUCAUUAAAAGUAUUUUGUGAACUUUAUAAUUUACUUAAAGCUUUAAAAGUAUUUCAUGAACGUUGUAAUUUACAUAAAACUUUUUAAUUUAUCGGUUGGAUACAUCUUCAUUUCUACGUUAAGGUGUAGUAAUGCCACGAAAAUGAUUUAUAAAAGUAUUAAGAAUUGUAUGUAAGAUAAAAAUUUUAUUUAGUUGUGAGUAUUGUAUGAUUUGAGGUUAUGAACACUAGUUAUGUAUUGUUAAAUAAAGUUUUUGUAAAUUCAGAAUUUCAGUAUUGUUAUAUUCAGGUUAAACUUUAUUUUUACACUAUAUAUAUGUAUGUUAAGAAAGGAGGUCGUUAUAAAAGUCUAGGAGGUGUUUGUUAAAAAAAAAUCAAACUGCAAGUCCUAAAAAAGUCAAUGAGUUGUUUUUAGGACUCGCAUCUAGGUGGGUGUCCUAAAAAAGUGUCAUAAAAUGGUAUUUUUGUAGUAGUGUGCACUACGUUAGGAUUUAAUAAUUAUAUCUUACACAUUAUAUUUUUGAAAUUAUUGACAAUUUUGAAUACUACUUCUCAUCGUGCUUGAAAGAACAUCAGAACAAAGUUGAUACUUGGACCGUGUAUUGGUCAAUUUUUUUUUUUUGCAAAGCUCUGCCAUUUGCUUUUUUAUUUUUAUUUUUUUUACUGAUGUACACGUGUUUUUAGUUUUUUUUUUGGCAGUACAUGUGUUUUUAGUUAUAAUUGAAAUUGACAUUGGGAAAUUUAUUUAGAUAGGGUACGAAAGGAAUAGUUACAAUGACCAUAAAAACAUUUAAUAGUUCUAAAAAAACAGAGCGGUGUUUUUAAAUGUAAAAAAUGGCUAAAAUCCCAAAUAGUUGCCAUUAUGACUUCUCUUUUGGUCAUUAAAAGUAAAAUGAUGGAACUUUCUUUAAAUCCAACAAAUAUUUUCCAUUUGACUUCUCUUUUGGUCAUUAAAAUCACCCGAUGACCCGAACAGAUAUUAUACCUUAAAAUUCCAUUUAGGAAGAUGAUUUUGUUCAGCCUUAGACACUAAGCUAUUGCCUGACAAUUAGAUUCACAAGUUGCUUUAGUAUUUUUUUCCCUUUGGUUAUCUACGAUCGAAAUUCAUAUAUAAUGUAAAAUGUUAAAAUGACAUUUUUUACAUUACUUAAUCAAUAUUAUUUAAGUCUCACAAAGUAAAUAGUAAAUUUAUUAAAGAUUUUUAAGGCAUUAAAAUAUCUUUGAUUAUUUCUUAAUUUGUGUGAUUUGAAAUGUCUUUUUACACCACCUCAUAAAGAAACAAUAUCUGACAUAGUUCUUCAUUAUUCUCAUUGUUGUCUACUUAAUUCAGAUAAAAUCUUUUGUGAUUUUCGAAACAAAGUUUGGUGGUUAUUUUCUUGUUUCAAGUCUGCCCAGGUACAAGUUGAUCUGUCUAAUUAUCUAGCUAGCCAAGUAAUCUGGAAUUCCAACAGACUUUUCAUUCAAGAUAUUCUCUUCUUUAAUUUUGUGGGCUGCGAAAUGUAGACUUCUUCAUGUUACAAAUAGAAACUUUUGAAGCCAGGAAAAGUUGAUUUCUUCACAUACAAUGAAUGUAAUUUGUAUUUGAAGAAGGAAGUUUGUAUGUUGUGAAAUUAAGAAUGGAUAUACUUAGUCUUGUCUUUAAGUGCGUGUUGCACUGUUUGUUGAUACCCUUUAGUCUUUAGGAUUGAAUGUAUUUUUUUAUUGUGAUUACUUCUACAGUUUUAAGGAGAAGAGCUCAUCAAAAGCUUUAUUCAGAGGAAGAAAAGAAAGUAUCAAUGUCUUUGAGAGAAGAGUCAAUCAAGUCUUUCUUCAAGAGGAAGAAGGCAAUCAGUCAUCAUCGAAAGGAGUUCGAGUGAAGAGCUGAUGAUUCUUGCAGAAAUAAGAUUGACAUUGAAAUACAAAAGAGUGCGACAACGAUAUAGGAGUCUAAUCUCAUAUAAGUCAUUGUUUUUGUAUUUGUGAUAUUUACUAAUAAUAAGUUUUCUUCUAUAAAGGUGGCUCCAUGGAUUAGGACAACCGAACUAUGUAAAAGACUGUUGUGUUGUUGUUGUUUUUUUUUAU